CCCGCCGCCGUCCGCCGCCGCCGCGCACUUCCGCUUCCGGCCUCGGGGGUCGCCGGGAGCGGAAGUGGCCGGGGCUCGGCUUUCGGGGUCAGAGGAGGUUCAAGCAGUGACGGGAAUGUUGACGACCCUUUCAUUAUCAUUCAGCCUCGGAGGAUAAAUCCUAGUCUCCUUCCCCGAGGGGUGAGAGAGAGAGGCAGAGGGAGAAGCAGGCUCCAUGCCGGGAGCCGGACGCGGGACUCGAUCCUGGGACUCCAGGAUCACGCCCUGGGCUGCAGGCAGGCGCUGAACCGCUGCGCCACCCAGGGAUCCCCGGAUGCUCACUGUUUAACUUACCUACGCCCACCGCUUUGAUCCUUUGGUUCAGUCCAUAUCCUUACAAAAACAUAUCGGUAGGUAAGAUUUAUUUUUCAGGCUAAUUUCUUCUAAAAAUAGGAGUAUAUAUUUUAUGUCUUCUACAACUUACUUUCUCAGUAAAAGUAAGAUGCGAAAAAAUGUUCAAGACAAGAGAAAAUCUGACUUUUUUUUUUUUAAGCUAAUGUGAGGGCGCUUGGGUGGCUCAGUGGGUUAGACCUGGCUCUUGGUUUUGGCUCAGGUCAUGAUCUCAUGGGUCAAGGGAUCCAACCCCUCCCUACACCACCCCCACACACCCCCCCCCAGUGGGGUUCCACAAUCAGCGUGGAGUCGGCUUGAAAGAUUCUCUCCCUCUGUACCUGCCCCGACUCGCCCUUAAGUGCGCGCGCGCUCUCUCAAAUAAAUAAAUAAAUCUUUUUUAAAAAACUAAAA